GGGUGAGGCGUGAUGCGUACCCGUUGUGGGGAUGUUGGUGAUCCUAUGCUGUCGAGAAAAGCCUCUAGUGAGUGCAUAUAUGGCCCGUACCCUAAACCGACACAGGUAGUCAGGUAGAGAAUACUAAGGCGAUCGGGUGAACUGUGGUUAAGGAACUCGGCAAAUUGCCCCCGUAACUUCGGGAGAAGGGGGACCACUGCUGGUGACAGACUGAUUUGAGCUGGUGGUGGUCGCAGAGAGUAGAGGGAAGCGACUGUUUACUAAAAACACAGGUCCGUGCGAAGACGAUAAGUCGAUGUAUACGGACUGACGCCUGCCCGGUGCUGGAAGGUUAAGAGGACCUGUUAGGGCAUUAAUGUCCGAAGCGGAGAAUUUAAGCCCCAGUAAACGGCGGUGGUAACUAUAACCAUCCUAAGGUAGCGAAAUUCCUUGUCGGGUAAGUUCCGACCUGCACGAAUGGCGUAACGACUUCCCUGCUGUCUCAACCACAGGCCCGGCGAAAUUGCAGUACGAGUAAAGAUGCUCGUUACGCGCGGCAGGACGAAAAGACCCCGGGACCUUCACUAUAGCUUGGUAUUGGUGUUUGGUUCGGUUUGUGUAGGAUAGGUGGGAGACUGUGAAGCUAUCACGCUAGUGGUGGUGGAGUCGUUGUUGAAAUACCACUCUGAUCGAAUUGAGCAUCUCAACCUCGGCCCAUGAUCUGGGUUAGGGACAGUGCCUGGUGGGUAGUUUAACUGGGGCGGUUGCCUCCCAAAGAGUAACGGAGGCGCCCAAAGGUUCCCUCAGCCUGGUUGGCAAUCAGGUGUUGAGUGUAAGUGCACAAGGGAGCUUGACUGUGAGACUGACAGGUCGAGCAGGUACGAAAGUAGGGACUAGUGAUCCGGCACCGGCUUGUGGAAGCGGUGUCGCUCAACGGAUAAAAGGUACCCCGGGGAUAACAGGCUGAUCUUCCCCAAGAGUCCAUAUCGACGGGAUGGUUUGGCACCUCGAUGUCGGCUCGUCGCAUCCUGGGGCUGGAGUAGGUCCCAAGGGUUGGGCUGUUCGCCCAUUAAAGCGGCACGCGAGCUGGGUUUAGAACGUCGUGAGACAGUUCGGUCUCUAUCCGCCGUGCGCGUUGAAACUUGAGAAAGGCUGACCCUAGUACGAGAGGACCGGGUUGGACAUACCUCUGGUGGGCCAGUUGUCACGCCCGUGGCAUGGCUGGUUGGCUACGUAUGGGAGGGAUAACCGCUGAAAGCAUCUAAGCGGGAAGCCUGUUUCGAGAUGAGGUUUCUUUUGAGGUUCCCUAUAGAUUAUGGGGUUGAUAGGCCGGAUCUGGAAGCGCUGUAAAGUGUGGAGGUGACCGGUACUAAUGGACCGAGACGAUUUAACAC
rnacentral:rRNA from 1 species